UACGUAGGGGGCAAGCGUUGUCCGGAUUUACUGGGUGUAAAGGGUGCUCAGGUGGUUAUGCAAGUCAGGGGUGAAAUCCCAGAGCUUAACUCUGGAACUGCCUUUGAUACUGCAUAGCUUGUGUACGGAAGAGGCUGAUGGAAUUCCUGGUGUAGCAGUGAAAUGCGUAGAUAUCAGGAAGAACACCAGUGGCGAAGGCGGUCAGCUGGUCCGGUACAGACACUAAAGCACGAAAGCGUGGGGAGCAAACAGG
rnacentral:rRNA from 1 species